UGUCUCAAAAAGACCAAAAAAAAGUUCAUGAUUGAAAUGCUACAGAGAAGAUUAGCAUGGUCCCUGUGUACGGAUGACAUGCAAAUUCUUGAAUUGUUCUUCCAUGGG
rnacentral:snRNA from 1 species